rnacentral:lncRNA from 1 species
ACACCUGGAACCGUCUAUGAAAGUCAACCCAAGCACCUCUUCCAACACCUGGGGCUACGGGUGACCUUCUAGGCUUUGCUGUUACACCAUUUCAGGAGCCCUCCUUCCCCCUGGGGCUGGCUCUGCUUGGAAGCGGCGGAGGCCUGUGGUGUUGCCAAGUCCGUUGCUGCAGACCUCUUUGUUCCCCAAGAGAAUGCGUAAAGGCUCUUUUUGAUCCCACUGCACAUCGCUGGGCUCUGCUGACCUCCAGACAUGGAGAGCACCACGAGGAGGAAAAGGACUCAGCACGUGACUGGGCUUUGCGGCCAGCUCUGGACCACAAGCUCCUUGCCCAGAUAUCUUGCUGAUAUCCCUCGCCAUAUGGGAUGUGUGUGGUGCUGCUUCCUCCUGGCUGUCACUCGUGGGGUUCUGCCCCGGCUCCGAAGCUCCGUGCGUGGGAACAGCUCCUGGCUGGGGCUCAUCUCUGUCUGCAGGAGCUGCUCGGCCUCUUUCAGCACAUCUCAGUCUGUUUGGAGACAGUUCCCACAAGCAUCUCUUCUCCAGGUGUAGCGGCUUUCUCUCCCCCGUGUUUCAGCCGUGGUAUCACAUUAUUUAUGGUGCCCUGUUUGACUGAAGCAGCUGCACACGUGUGACUCAAGUGCUCCCUGACACUGUCAAACCAUGGAUACCAGC